AAGUCUGACCGAGCACGCCGCGUGAGUGAAGAAGGUUUUCGGAUCGUAAAACUCUGUUGUUAGAGAAGAACAAGGAUGAGAGUAACUGUUCAUCCCUUGACGGUAUCUAACCAGAAAGCCACGGCUAACUACGUGCCAGCAGCCGCGGUAAUACGUAGGUGGCAAGCGUUGUCCGGAUUUAUUGGGCGUAAAGCGAGCGCAGGCGGUUUCUUAAGUCUGAUGUGAAAGCCCCCGGCUCAACCGGGGAGGGUCAUUGGAAACUGGGAGACUUGAGUGCAGAAGAGGAGAGUGGAAUUCCAUGUGUAGCGGUGAAAUGCGUAGAUAUAUGGAGGAACACCAGUGGCGAAGGCGGCUCUCUGGUCUGUAACUGACGCUGAGGCUCGAAAGCGUGGGGAGCAAACAGGAUUAGAUACC
rnacentral:rRNA from 1 species